AAUUAUUACUAAAAUGUUGCUUUAUGAAAAUGAAAAACAUUGGUAAAAAAUAGAAAGUGCUAUAGGGAUACAUGUUCAAAACAUACAAAAUCUUCCAACGAUCAUAUGGUUUAUAGGAAAUAUACAAGAUUAGAGCUAAGAGUUUUAAUAUGUACAAGCAAUUUAUAAUUACAACUCUAGUUUCCACAUUAGUCUGAAGAGAAAGACAUUUGAAAUUAGGUUUUAUCAAUUGAUAGUUCAUAUUUGUCUUAUAUGCUUGAUGGAAAUACAGUGCAAAAGAAUUAUUCUUGUAACAGGUAUAUUACAGAAACAAAUUUUAUUAAUAGCCAAUGUAACUAGCAGUUAUACUAGAACACAUUUGCUGUUCAGAUGGAUUCUUAUAUCCUUAUUAGCAUUUCUUACAAAAAUAGCAAUAGGCUCCAUAAUAACUACAAUGGUCAUUUCUGUUACAAACACAUACCCACAGAGAGAAAGACUAUAAGGCAGUUUAAGCGCUUCCACAGAUGAUUAUAGUGCCUCAUAUAGCCUGAAAACUUGAAGCCUUUCCUUCAGAAAUAGUACAAAUUGAAAUUGAUUGAAUUUGUUGGUUCCAUAACAAAUGGUCCAGGAGUGGGUUAUCAGUAGGUACAUUACAGUUGCUUUCAUGUGUGGAGAACUUUACAGUUUUGUAUCAUUUUCUUUCUAAAAAUAGUACAGCCAUGAACUUAGAUAGCAAUGUGUUUACAGGGUCUUUCAUACCUAAUCAAUCUGCAUCUUUAAAUCCCAUUCAUUUGUUUUCUUUCAUGCAUUUGGGUAAUAAGUAUUUACUGGCUUCAGUCCUAUACUCUGGAAAUAUAAAAUAAAUGAGAAAAUUAUUUCUUUAUCUUGAGGGACUUGUAAUCUAGUACAGGUAACAGUAAGUAAAUAAGUGAAAUAAGAGAAAUAAGGAAAAGCAAAAAAUUUACAUGGCAAGCACAAAGCCUAGAGUCUUCAUUUGUAAUUUGAAGUUGAACAGGGGCUUUAAAGGAUGUAUAUUUAAGGUAUAUCUUAAAGAAUGAAUUAUUGUUGCCAAUUGGAGUCAACGUUAGAUAAAAGCAGUGAUUCGAUUGGCACUUCAGAGGGGAUUUAGCAAUGUUUAGGGACAUUUUUGAUUGUCGCAUGUGAGUAAGUAGCCGUGCUACUGGCAUCUGGUGGGUAGAGGCCAGGGAUGCUGCUACACACCCUACAAUGCUCAAGAGAGCCCUUAACCCCACCUACCGGAAAAAAUAAUAAAUUGUCUGUCCCAAAUUCUCAACAGUGCCAAGGAUGAGAUACAUUGAAAUAGAGGCAUUAUAGGCAAAAGUGAUACAAAGAGGAAAGCAUUCUAUAGGGUUAUAAAAAUAUAAAUUUCUUGAUGUGCAUAGAGGGACUGGGGACAGGAGGAGCAAGAGUGGCCAUAGGACCAUAGAAAGGAAAGGUUUGUAUUUUUUGGCAGCACAUAUGUGAAUAAAGACACAUUUUUGUUUUUCUAAAGGACAGUAUAGUAGUGGAAAAAUAAAAUAAGAAUGGGUCUUUUAUUCUUACACUUUAAAGUUUAAAACAAAUAUUAACAGAUAAACAGUGAAUUCAAUGAAAUGCUCCUAUGAUCUUAAAAUGUAAAGAAGCUACAUUAGAAGUAAUAUGUAAUUUAUUUCUGGCAAAACAUAAAUUAAUAGAGGUGUGUGUGCAUUAUUAUGCAAAUUGUAUUUUAUCAGAAAAAUAUGUGUGCUCUCACAUCACAUGAUAACAUCUUCUCUCACUUUACAAUAUGCAAACUUAGAAAAGUUUCAUCAGAUGAAUUGAUAUCUGAUAAUUGAUUACCGAAACAAUUAGGUGGUAAUUGUGGAAUAUAGAUAAUAUUUUAGCCUACAAAAUGAAAAUAAGGUAGAUUCCAUUCAUGGCAUGUGUACUUAAAACACUAUAUCUGUCUACAGUGCUGCUAUUUCUUGAAGUAGUGCCUUGCACAGUGUCUGGCAAAUACUGAUUGAAUGGUUGUUAGUAUGAAUACAUGAGUGAGUAAAUAAAAGGAGGAAAAGGAAAAGAAAGGAAAUGAAUUGAGACAAGGGGAAGGAGGAAGGAAGGGAGGGAGGGAGGGAGGGAAGAAAGGAGGAUGAGGGGAGGAAUUACACCUGUUAAAAGCUCAGAAUUAAGUUCUAUUAGGACAAGGAUUUUUUUGAGUGUUUUGGCCACUGCUGAAUUCCCAGUAACUAGAAGUAUGCUUGACACAUAUUACUGCUCAACAAAUAUUUGUUAACUGACUAAAUGCCCUACUGUCACCCAACAUCCUGCUUUUCAGUAUGCAUACAAAAGUUUUGUUGGAGUUAGGAAGGGCUGACAUAAUCAGUCAUUAUAUCACUGAUGACUGUAUAUUGGGGCAGCAGAGAUAUUAAUUGUAUGCAUUAUUUAGGAGUGACCCCUAAAGUGAAAAUAAACAACAAUUUUGCAAUGCCUCGAUUGUUAGCAAUAGAUUGUCUUGGCUUAACCAUGGAUUUUGAAUAUUCAGAAUUCAAAAUCAUGUGUACGUGUGUAUGAGAAUGGGGGUGGGGGAAGGAGAGAAUAAGAGAGCCAAAGCAUAUUCUGAUAACAGAGAGAGAAAAAUAAGACAUGAUUUAAGAAGCAAUAGAAAAUAUAAACUUUUUUUUUUUUUUUCUGCUACUAAGUACACCUGAAACCAACAUUGUUCAAGAAAUGAGGACAUUUAGGGUACCAUGGUUUAUUUGUUUCUGGCAUAAAGCUAUAAACAACAAUGUGCUUUGCACACCAGGUAUUUAACAGUGCUUGCACAGUGUCCAUAUAGAGCAUCUGAUGCUUUUUCUUUUUUAACAGAUCUGGUCUCCCUAUGUUGCCCAGGCUGGUCUCACCCUCCUGGCUUUAAGAGAUCCUCUCGUCCUGAUCCCCUGAAGCACUGGGAUGAGUCACUGCACCCAGCCAAGCAGGCAAUUGUUUUACAAGGCAUGGGAAGACAUUCUGACCUUUGCAAUUCAAUGGCCUGGGACAGAAGUGGUGACCAUGGGAACUGUUUACAUCACCGUUCGAUGACAUGAGGCACUGAGGAGUAAGAGAGCAACAGUUCUCACUUUCUUCUUUAGUAAACAUAAUUUGGGGGGGUGAAAGGCUUUUUGUAGAAAUCUUUAAAAUGUAUUAUGCAUAUGUGAAUGUACAUGUGAAAUUUAUAAUCUGGGAAAUCUGAGUAUACAGAUUCUUGCAUAAUAUACAUCAGCUAAUUGCAUCUGUUUCCAAUUGUAUGGUGUGUGAUAAAAAAAAAUGCUGUACUUAUAUGGGGAAAUUUGACCAAGGUGUCCCAGAACAUGUCUCUGUUUAACAGAAUGCAUUUGGAAAAAAAAAACAAAAACACAAACCUUGGGAUUUCUUACCCACUAUCAUAAAUGUUGAAGACAGACAUCUUUUUUUAACUCUACAAUACGGUCUGCCUGUGCUUUAGAUGCUAUCUAAAGUAGAACUACAUGUGAGAAGAGAGAACAGCUGUUAAUACAUGAAUGAUGAAUAAGACUUCAUCAUGAUGAAGUUUCUGUUUUGAAGAUUUCCGACAGCACACUCUGAUUUCUGUUUUGAGACUUGCCUCUCAAAACUAAAGAAAUCAACAGCCAUACCAAUACCUCUAAGUACCUGACAAUGGAGUAGGACAAGUGACAACUGACUCAUCAGCCUCCAAACACUUCUCCUUACAGUGUACCUUGAUUCUAUGCAAGGACUAAGGAAAGGUUAAAAUGCAAAUAUAUUACUAUUUGGAACAAUACAUUAUUAAUCUAUCAUUAUCAUUAACUUUUGGAAAAACAAAAGUAAUUUCAUCAGAUUAAUAAAAUAAAUUCUAAAUAAAAUUAAUUCCAAGAAAAUUUCCUAUCCAUCUAAGGGUAGGAAAAAUCAGUCAGAAAAAAAAAAAAAUGUCAUUCUGCAGAAUACCAGCUUGGAAGAAACCUGAUAUUAAAAUACCACAUGAAGACACGAAGAGGAACAUAAGGAGAAAAGAUCAUUCAUGGAACAACUUUUGUCUAGGAAAACCCUCAUUCACAAUCUGUGUCUAGAAACUAAAAAAGCAAUUGCAUUGAAUUUGGAACAUAUACAAUGAUGAUAAACUAUAAUUUACCUAACUGACUGUAUUGUUUGGUUAAUUGAGAUAAAUUAAUUAGAGGAGAAAAACUGAUGUUAUAAGUUUAGAAUAUCUUGCAUUGCAAAUGACCAAUUGAUUUUUCAAAGUGUUCUGUUUUAAAGAAAGUUGCACUAUAGAAUGUUAUUUUGUUUUAAAAGAAGAUAAAGUAUUGCAAAAAUGAGUGACUUAAAACAAUGUGUGAGACAUUGUUUAAAUUGAUGCAUUUUGAGCUACAAACCAAAAAUGUAUAUAUAAUAUAGAAAUUAUUAUAGGUAUUAUUUAUUUUUUACUAGUAUUGCACAUAUUUUUAAAAGCCCAAUUAUCUUUUUGAUCACAUUAUAAUUUAUCUUGCUUUUGAAUAUCUAGGGACAACAUAGAAAAUGUUUUAAAAUCUUUAAAAAAAUGUUAAUAGCAUUAAGGCAUUUUCCCUAACAAACGAACUGUAGGAAAAUAUAAGACUUUUCAAACUAUAAGGGCAUUUAAUGAUAAAUGUAUGUAUUAUUCAAGCUUCUGAUUAAGAUGAACAAACAUUAACAGACUAAAGCAGCUGUAAUAAUGCAAUGAUUUAAAACAAUAAAAAUGCCUCUGUAAAUAUUAAGUCAAUAACUUUCUUCUGAAAUAUAAAAUGUGCUUGCCACAGAAAAUUAAUAUGAUUUCUCGCAUGUAAAUUACCAUAUUUUAAACAAAAGAUAUCCUCAAGAACCAUUUUAAUCUUUGCUAUAUUUUACAUAUAGUACUUUCAAAUUCAUAUUUCAGCAUUGACAUAUUUCAAAUAAAGAAAAU
rnacentral:lncRNA from 10 species